rnacentral:rRNA from 1 species
GACGAACGCUGGCGGCGUGCUUAACACAUGCAAGUCGAACGGAAAGGCCCUGCUUUUGUGGGGUGCUCGAGUGGCGAACGGGUGAGUAACACGUGAGUAACCUGCCCUUGACUUUGGGAUAACUUCAGGAAACUGGGGCUAAUAUCGGAUAGGAGCUACUGCUGCAUGGUGGGGGGUGGAAAGAUUCGGCGGUUGGGGAUGGAAUCGCGGCUUAUCAGCUUGUUGGUGGGGUAGUGGCUUACCAAGGCUUUGACGGGUAGCCGGCCUGAGAGGGUGACCGGCCACAUUGCGACUGAGAUACGGCCCAGACUCCUACGGGAGGCAGCAGUGGAGAAUAUUGCACAGUGGGCGGAAGCCUGAUGCAGCAACGCCGCGUGCGGGAUGACGGCCUUCGGGUUGUAAACCGCUUUCGCCUGUGACGAAGCGUGAGUGACGGUAAUGGGUAAAGAAGCACCGGCUAACUACGUG